rnacentral:rRNA from 1 species
CCUACGGGCGGCAGCAGUCAGGAAUAUUGGUCAAUGGGCGGGAGCCUGAACCAGCCAAGUCGCGUGAAGGAAGAAGGUACUUAGUAUUGUAAACUUCUUUUAUAGAGGAAUAAAGUGAGGCACGUGUGCCUUUUUGUAUGUAUUUUAUGAAUAAGGAUCGGCUAACUCCGUGCCAGCAGCCGCGGUAAUACGGAGGAUCCGAGCGUUAUCCGGAUUUAUUUGGUUUAAAGGGAGCGUAGAUGGGUUGUUAAGUCAGUUGUGAAAGUUUGCGGCUCAACCGUAAGAUUGCAAUUGAUACUGGCAGUCGUGAGUACAGUUGAGGUAGGCGGAAUUCGUGGUGUAGCGGUGAAAUGCUUAGAUAUCACGAAGAACACCGAUUGCGAAGGCAGCUUACUAGACUGCCACUGACAGUGAUGCUCGAAAGUGUGGGUAUCAAACAGGAUUAGAUACCCUUGUAGUC